GUCAGAUGCUCAUUUUCUGCUAAGGUUUGAGGAAAAAUGUAUAUACCUUCAAGCACGGCACUGCACAGAAGCAGCGAUUCUGAUAACAAUGGUCCAGAUGCAUCAGCUCCCGAAGUGGGAUGGUCAAGUCUGUAAACUUCAGAAUGCUGCUUAUCUGAUGCUGUGUCUGUGUGAUGCUGC